UCCGUAGGGUGCGAGCGUUGUCCGGAAUUAUUGGGCGUAAAGGGCUCUUCGGCGGUUUGUUGCGGCAGGAGUGAAAACUCGGGGCUUAACCCCGAGCCUGCUUCUGAUACGGGCGGACUAGAGGUAUGCAGGGGAGAACGGAAUUCCUGGUGUAGCGGUGAAAUGCGCAGAUAUCAGGAGGAACACCGGUGGCGAAGGCGGUUCUCUGGGCAUUACCUGACGCUGAGGAGCGCAAGUGUGGGGAGCGAACAGG
rnacentral:rRNA from 1 species